CGAGUGAAGCGGCAACAGCUCAAAUUUGAAAUCUGGCGUCUUUGGCGUCCGAGUUGUAAUUUGCAGAGGGCGCUUUGGCAUUGGCAGCGGUCCAAGUUCCUUGGAACAGGACGUCACAGAGGGUGAGAAUCCCGUACGUGGUCGCUAGCCUUUACCGUGUAAAGCCCCUUCGACGAGUCGAGUUGUUUGGGAAUGCAGCUCUAAAUGGGAGGUAAAUUUCUUCUAAAGCUAAAUACUGGCCAGAGACCGAUAGCGCACAAGUAGAGUGAUCGAAAGAUGAAAAGCACUUUGGAAAGAGAGUUAAAAAGCACGUGAAAUUGUUGAAAGGGAAGCGCUUGCAGCCAGACUUGCCUGUAGUUGCUCAUCCGGGUUUUUACCCGGUGCACUCUUCUAUAGGCAGGCCAGCAUCAGUUUGGGCGGUUGGAUAAAGGUCUCUGUCACGUACCUCCUCUCGGGGAGAACUUAUAGGGGAGACGUAAUGCAACCAGCCUGGACUGAGGUCCGCGCAUCUGCUAGGAUGCUGGCGUAAUGGCUGUAAGCGGCCCGUCUUGAAACACGGACCAAGGAGUCUAACAUCUAUGCGAGUGUUUGGGUGUCAAGCCCGAGCGCGUAAUGAAAGUGAACGGAGGUGGGAACCUUUCGGGGUGCACCAUCGACCGAUCCUGAUGUCUUCGGAUGGAUUUGAGUAAGAGCAUAGCUGUUGGGACCCGAAAGAUGGUGAACUAUGCUUGAAUAGGGUGAAGCCAGAGGAAACUCUGGUGGAGGCUCGCAGCGGUUCUGACGUGCAAAUCGAUCGUCAAA
rnacentral:rRNA from 1 species